GAUGAACGCUGGCGGCGUGCCUAAUACAUGCAAGUCGAGCGAACGGACGAGAAGCUUGCUUCUCUGAUGUUAGCGGCGGACGGGUGAGUAACACGUGGAUAACCUACUUAUAAGACUGGGAUAACUUCGGGAAACCGGAGCUAAUACCGGAUAAUAUUUUGAACCGCAUGGUUCAAAAGUGAAAGACGGUCUUGCUGUCACUUAUAGAUGGAUCCGCGCUGCAUUAGCUAGUUGGUAAGGUAACGGCUUACCAAGGCAACGAUGCAUAGCCGACCUGAGAGGGUGAUCGGCCACACUGGAACUGAGACACGGUCCAGACUCCUACGGGAGGCAGCAGUAGGGAAUCUUCCGCAAUGGGCGAAAGCCUGACGGAGCAACGCCGCGUGAGUGAUGAAGGUCUUCGGAUCGUAAAACUCUGUUAUUAGGGAAGAACAGAUGUGUAAGUAACCGUGCACAUCUUGACGGUACCUAAUCAGAAAGCCACGGCUAACUACGUG
rnacentral:rRNA from 1 species